rnacentral:rRNA from 1 species
GACGAACGCUGGCGGCGUGCUUAACACAUGCAAGUGGUGCGACGAACCAGGCUUCGGCCUGGGGCGAAGCCGCGAACGGGUGAGUAACACGUGGGCAAUCUGCCCCUUUGAUCGGGACAACCCGGGGAAACCCGGGCUAAUACCGAAUGAGGUGGCGACUCAUGAGAGUCGUCACGAAAGGAAGCUUCGGCCUCCGCGAAGGGAUGAGCCCGCGGCCCAUUAGCUUGUUGGUGGGGUAAUGGCCUACCAAGGCAACGAUGGGUAGCUGGUCUGAGAGGACGAUCAGCCAAACUGGGAAGUAGAAAGGGCCCAGACUCCUACGGGAGGCUGCAGUGGGGAAUCUUGCGCAAUGAGCGACAGCUUGACGCAGCAACGCCGCGUGAGGGAAGAAGGCUUCCGGGUCGUAAAACUCUGUUGUUAGGGAAGAACAAGUGCUAGUUGAAUAAGCUGGCACCUUGACGGUACCUAACCAGAAAGCCACGGCUAACUACGUGCCAGCCGCCGCCGUAA